ACCGAAGGUUUAAGCUAGUGUUUCCUGCUGAGGGUUUGAAGGGAGAAGGGGGGUUGUGUUAACAGGCAGUGGAGGAUAGAUAGGGGCGUAAGGUGGCGGGAUGGGUUUACAAGCCUCAGGAGAGGGCAGUUGUGGACGAGAAUACGUGCAAGCAAUACUAGAAUUGUCCUGAGGGGGGAUGGUGUAGGAAAAGAAGUGGAUACAGCUGACUGGGAAGAUGGCGGCUGGGAAGAUGGCAACUGAGAAGACAAUGAGGAGGCUUUCGGGGUUAAAGAAGGCAGUUGAGAGGAAAAGGGUCUUGCUGUGCCACUCAGGCUAGAGUACACUGGUGUGAUCUCAGCUCACUGCAGCCUUGACCUCUGGGUUCAAGUGAUCCUCCCAUCUUGGCCUCCCAAUGUGCUGGAAUUACAGGCAGGAACCACUGAUUUACAAUCUUCUAAUAAGAGUCUUUAUCUUAAAGAUAUUUGUUUCCUGUGUUUGAGAAUUAAAAUGCUGGCUUUUUGCUGAAUAAAAA
rnacentral:lncRNA from 1 species